UCCAAUUAAAAAGAGUUCCAUUCUAAAUCAGAGACAAGGUGGACAAGCAGGGCUGAGUUUCAAAUGAAGAGAGAUUUGAGGUCAAAUCCAUAACUAAAGUUUAUGGGAAGCUAACACAUCUUCAUUUCUAUUCAUCCUAGCUCUGAGCUUCAGCUAACAUGCCUGUGUUUUAUGAUGGAUAUUCUCUAGAAUGAUAAUAGAAGGUAUGGAGAACCACUUUGAAGAAAUGCAAUGUCACCUAGGUGAGUGAAAGAAGACAAGUUGGGUGGACAAGAGGGACCAAGUCACUUUCGGACAGUAGCUUAUUAAUAAAAGCCCAUUAAUAAAAUAUGAGUGAGGCCUUAAGAGAGGAGAAGCUGUAAAGAAGAGGCAAAUCGCAGAAGCAAGUAGUUUGAGGGAAAAGAGUCAGGCUGGAUGCCAGAGAAAAGAUGUGGCUUUGCAGCUCUGGUCCUAGCUCAAGCCCCAGCUUCAGCCUUUGCCAGUUACUUAACCACUGUAGAGUUCAUUUUUCCUUACACGGAAAUGAAGAAACUAGCUCGAGCGGCGUUGAAGGCAAAGGAUGUGUCAUGCAGACGGAGUGCUUAGACAAUACUUGGCAUAAAAAAGCUCAGACGCGAUUGAGAUCUUGCUGAAGAGCGGUUGGAGAAAGACUGGUGAGCCAUGAGUGGGCUCUUGAAUCAAGGAGCAGAUUAUUGGAUGCUGGACUAGACCCCAUGGAAGAGGAAAUAUGCUUGCAUCAGAAAGUUAGAUUAAAGACAAUAUGCUAAUAUAGGAAAGGGGAAAGUGUGGGAGCAGUGAAUGUAAAGGAAAGAUGUAACGGAGGAGGCUGUACCCCAUCUGGGGACUUAUAGUACUCGUUAGAAGAGGGCAAAAAAGAAGGGCCCUCAACGUAUAGGGUCAGUAUGUGUAGCAAAUGGGGAUGCAAAACGUCCAAGAAAUGUUCCAGGUGCCAUCUGUAGAAGCGUAACAAUGGACAAAAAGAGGCCCACAAGGAGGGAGAGUGUCUUGUGCAGACUCAAAGACCAAGUGAGGAUAACACAAUUCUUCUGGAGGGUCUAAAGCUUUUUCUGAUAAGGCUGAUAAAGGUGAGCUAGAAGUGGUGGUAUCCAGACAGAAGAAGCAGCUCUUUGAAUCUUUCCCAACGGUGACCAAGAGAUAACUCUGUGCAUAACUGCACACAAGUAUGAAGGCCUAAGUUCAAAUCCUCAGCCCCCACAUCUAAACUUGAGUGCAGCUGUAAUUGUCUGGAACUCCAGUGCUGUAGGAGGUGGAGGCCGUAGGGUUGCUGGGGCUUGCCUUAGCUACCACACCAGAUCCAGGUUCAGUGAGAGACCCAGUCUCAAGAGUGCUGCAGACCCUCUGGGCCCCUUUGUCUGCGUGGAACGGGUCUCUGGUUGCGGGUGGGCAAAGCAUCGGAUGAGUGACAAACAGACGCACACAGGAGAGUUUGUGUUGGAUCUGAAUGUAAUUUUUCAAAUUGAACAUCAGACUUUUUAUGCAGAAGACAAUAAGGAAGUUGGGUGACAUACCUGCAAGGUACAAAUGAGGUAACCG
rnacentral:lncRNA from 1 species